AGAUUGAACGCUGGCGGCAGGCCUAACACAUGCAAGUCGAGCGGCAGCACGGGUACUUGUACCUGGUGGCGAGCGGCGGACGGGUGAGUAAUGCCUAGGAAUCUGCCUGGUAGUGGGGGAUAACGCUCGGAAACGGACGCUAAUACCGCAUACGUCCUACGGGAGAAAGCAGGGGACCUUCGGGCCUUGCGCUAUCAGAUGAGCCUAGGUCGGAUUAGCUAGUUGGUGAGGUAAUGGCUCACCAAGGCGACGAUCCGUAACUGGUCUAGAGAGGAUGAUCAGUCACACUGGAACUGAGACACGGUCCAGACCUCCGUACGGGAGGCC
rnacentral:rRNA from 1 species